UGUUCCUGCAGAUACCGUGUUUCUGCCAUACUGCGUUUGUCAGUCAAUGGAUGGCUUAAGCAGAGAGCAACACUAGGUCCUCAUCUCAGUUACAUGGGCAUUUUUCAUCUGUUGACACUACCAUCACCAAGGAAACAUAAUCAAGAAAAAUUACAGUCAGAUUUUAUUUU